UACCCAGGUCACCAAGUACUUCUUUCAUUCCCAGCUCUACACAAAAGCACCUGCAAAGCAACUUUACCAAGUGAAGUAAAUGCCGAUGAUUAACCACCAAGGGGCUGGAACAACGAGGGACAAGUCGGGAACAGGUUUGGGAGGUCAGGGAGACGCAGAGCACAGAUAAGACACCUUGGCAUACACCCAGGUGAAGUGAGGCUAGGGAAGAAGCCACCAUCACCCAUCCAGGCAGAGAGGACUCCCAGGGAUCCUGAACUUCUCCUGUCCUCACAUCCCCAAACCUGAGGAAGGCACCCAGCUGGGCUCUGGGUCCCUGAGCCAAGGAUUUCCCAGAGGUCAUACCCCACAGCUCCAAGAGGACAGAACUGAGAAGGAGGGGACAAAAAGAGCAGAGUUGGCUCGUGUCUUUGCUGAUAGCUCUGAAGUGACGCAUCACGUCGAGGUCAUGGCAGUGCUGACGAACUCUGCUGCCCCCAGUGAUCCUGAUGAGCUCAGAGGGCGUCCUGUGGCAGAGACCAGAAGGUUCUGAGGAACUGCGGCCAGAGGGAAAUUUGGACACGUAGAGAAGACAGCCACUUGAAGAAGGAAGCAGAGAGUGGAGUCAUGUGGCCCAACGCUGAGGAACUUGGGGGCUGCCAGAAGCCCGAAGGGGACCAUGGAGCGUCUUCUGCUAGAGUCUUCAGAAGGAAAGUUGACCAUGUCAACGCCUCAGCCUCUGACUUCAG